GUCUACGGCCACGCCACCCUGAACAAGCCCGAUCCCGUCUGCUCUCGGAAGCUCAGCAGGGUCGGGCCUGGUUAGCACUUGGAUGGGAGACCGCCUAGGAAGACCAGGUGCUGUAGGCG
rnacentral:rRNA from 1 species